rnacentral:rRNA from 1 species
UACGGGGGGGCAAGCGUUGUUCGGAAUUACUGGGACGUAAAGGGCUCGUAGGCGGCCAACUAAGUCAGACGAUGAAAUCCCCUCGGCGUUAACCGGGGAACUGCGUCUGAUACUGGAUGGCUUGAGGUUGGGAGAGGGGUGCGGAAUUCCAGGUGUAAGCGGUGAAAUGCGUAGAUAAUCUGGAGGAACACCGGUGGCGAAGGCGGCAUCCUGGACCAAUUCUGACGCUGAGGAGCGAAAGCCAGGGAGCAAACGGG